rnacentral:siRNA from 1 species
CAUUUUGUGUACUACAAGUUGUGG